UACGUAGGGGGCUAGCGUUGUCCGGAAUCAUUGGGCGUAAAGAGCGUGUAGGCGGUCCGGUAAGUCCGCUGUGAAAGUCGGGGGCUCAACCCUCGAAUGCCGGUGGAUACGGUCGGGCUAGAGUGCGGAAGAGGCGAGUGGAAUUCCUGGUGUAGCGGUGAAAUGCGCAGAUAUCAGGAGGAACACCUAUUGCGAAGGCAGCUCGCUGGGACGUUACUGACGCUGAGACGCGAAAGCGUGGGGAGCAAACAGG
rnacentral:rRNA from 1 species